rnacentral:rRNA from 1 species
UACGUAGGGGGCGAGCGUUGUCCGGAUUUACUGGGCGUAAAGGGUGAGUAGGCGGUGAUAUGUGUCAGAUGUAAAAGGCUAUGGCUUAACUAUAGUUAGCAUUUGAAACUGUAUUACUUGAGUGCAGGAGAGGUAAGUGGAAUUCCUAGUGUAGCGGUGAAAUGCGUAGAUAUUAGGAGGAACACCAGUGGCGAAGGCGACUUACUGGACUGUAACUGACGCUGAGUCACGAAAGCGUGGGUAGCAAACAGGAUUAGAUACCCUGGUAGUCCACGCUGUAAACGAUGAGUGCUAGGUGUUGGCCAGCGAUGGUCAGUGCCGAAGUUAACACAAUAAGCACUCCGCCUGGGGAGUACGGUCGCAAGACUGAAACUCAAAGGAAUUGACGGGGACCCGCACAAGCAGCGGAGCAUGUGGUUUAAUUCGAAGCAACGCGAAGAACCUUACCAAGGCUUGACAUCCCCUUGACCGGCACAGAGAUGUGCCCUCUCCUUCGGGAGCAAGGGUGACAGGUGGUGCAUGGUU